rnacentral:rRNA from 1 species
CUUACGGGAGGCAGCAGUGGGGAAUCUUCCGCAAUGGACGAAAGUCUGGGAGCAACGCCGCGGAGUGAAGAAGGUUUUCGGAUCGUAAAACUCUUUUUCAGGGACGAAUGUGCAAUAUGUGAAUAAUGUGUUGUAAUGACGGUCCCGACAAGAAAGCCACGCUAACUACUGCCAGCAGCGCGGUAAU